AGUUUUAUAGUUUAUAAAAAAUUUUAAAUUGCAAAUUUAAAGAAUUAUUUUUUUUAAUAAAACUU
rnacentral:tRNA from 1 species